UAUUAUAUAGUGAUAACGACUAUGUAUUACAUAUUAGUAUUAAAAAUUUGCUAUAAAAAGUUUAACUGAUAAAAGUGUGCUAGUUUAUUUCAAAAUAUACAAUGGCUAAAAACCUUAGUAAAUACUUGAAGGUCCAUUGAUAAAGUUAAGGCUUAUUUUGCUGUCAAAAGCUCCCAAAAUCGAAAAUAUACCAUAAAAAUGAGAUUCAUCUACUUAAUGAUGAUUCUAGUGGCAAAGGAAAACUGCUGGAGAGAUCACCGUGGAAAUUGCAUUCCACGCGGCACUAAAGGAAAUGACAACAAUAUCACAAAGAAAGUCGCAGAAUCGAACCCAGCGAACUAGAAUACACAAACGAUUAUAUCGUAAUAUCAAGUAAAACAUUGUUAUAUUGUAUAUCAUUUGUGGAAAAAACAAUAAAGAAACCAGAUCGCAGAUAUUUCAUAA